rnacentral:rRNA from 1 species
AUUGAACGCUGGCGGCAUGCUUUACACAUGCAAGUCGAACGGUAACAGGUUAAGCUGACGAGUGGCGAACGGGUGAGCAAUGCAUCGGAACGUGCCCGAUCGUGGGGGAUAACGCAGCGAAAGCUGCGCUAAUACCGCAUACGAUCUGAGGAUGAAAGCGGGGGACCGUAAGGCCUCGCGCGAUCGGAGCGGCCGAUGUCAGAUUAGGUAGUUGGUGGGGUAAAGGCUCACCAAGCCAACGAUCUGUAGCUGGUCUGAGAGGACGACCAGCCACACUGGGACUGGGACACGGCCCAGACUCCUACGGGAGGCAGCAGUGGGGAAUUUUGGACAAUGGGCGAAAGCCUGAUCCAGCAAUGCCGCGUGCAGGAAGAAGGCCUUCGGGUUGUAAACUGCUUUUGUACGGAGCGAAAAGGCCCUCUCUAAUACAGUGGGCUCAUGACGGUACCGUAAGAAUAAGCACCGGCUAACUACGUGCCAGCAGCCGCAGUAA